rnacentral:rRNA from 1 species
GCGCGAAACCUCCGCAAUGCGGGAAACCGCGACGGGGUCAGCCGGAGUGCUCGCGCAUCGCGCGGGCUGUCGGGGUGCCUAAAAAGCACCCCAUAGCAAGGGCCGGGCAAGGCCGGUGGCAGCCGCCGCGGUAAUACCGGCGGCCCGAGUGGCGGCCACUUUUAUUGGGCCUAAAGCGUCCGUAGCCGGGCUGGUAAGUCCUCCGGGAAAUCUGGCGGCUUAACCGUCAGACUGCCGGAGGAUACUGCCAGCCUAGUGACCGGGAGAGGCCGGGGGUAUUCCCGGGGUAGGGGUGAAAUCCUGUAAUCCCGGGAGGACCACCUGUGGCGAAGGCGCCCGGCUGGAACGGGUCCGACGGUGAGGGACGAAGGCCAGGGGAGCGAACCGGAUUAGAUACCCGGGUAGUCCUGGCUGUAAACGAUGCGGACUAGGUGUCACCGAAGCUACGAGCUUCGGUGGUGCCGGAGGGAAGCCGUUAAGUCCGCCGCCUGGGGAGUACGGCCGCAAGGCUGAAACUUAA